UGGUGGAUUGAUUUGUCUGGUUAAUUCCGUUAACGAACGAGACCUCAGCCUACUAACUAGUACCAUGAAUACUUGUAUUCAUGUGUAUCUUCUUAGAGGGACUAUCUGUUUCUAGCAGAUGGAAGUGUGAGGCAAUAACA
rnacentral:rRNA from 1 species